rnacentral:rRNA from 1 species
UACAGAGGUGCCAAGCGUUGUUCGGAUUUAUUGGGCGUAAAGGGUGCGUAGGCGGUCAUGCAAGUCGGUUGUGAAAUUCCGGAGCCUAACUCCGGAACUGCAUUCGAAACUGCAUUGCUAGAGUAUGGGAGAGGGAAGCGGAAUUUCUGGUGUAGCAGUGAAAUGCGUAGAUAUCAGAAGGAACAUCAGUGGCGAAGGCGGCUUCCUGGACCAAUACUGACGAUCAGGUGCGAAAGCGUGGGGAGCAAACAGG